CUCUCUCUCUCUCUCUCUCUCUCUCUCUCUCUCUCUCCCUACUUCAUUCCUUUUAUCUGUAGAUAUAUAUCCUUACAUGUUUCCAUCCUUUUACAACUUACUGAUCUCUCACAUUUUUUUGCUUUCACCAACUUUUCGUUUAUUGCAGUUCUUCCUGACCACUCAUUACAGUCUUCGUUACGUUAAAGACUUCCACUUAUAAUAAAUGGAAAUAGAAUGGCUUGAGAGAAUUGGCGUUGUUUAAAGUGCGCUAAUUGUAAUUGAAACAAAUCUAUCAAUAUUUAUAGAUUGAAAAUUUAUUAAAGAGAUGGAAGAACAAUGAUAAUUAAAACGUUAAAAUGAAUGAAUAACUCAUAUCUUUCAGUUAAUCUUUUAACCAUCUUGAGUCUCCAGGGAAAACAGACUAAGCCUCGAUUCGUCGAGAAUACAUUCUCCGAUGCUAGUUACAAGGAUGGAAUUUACGAUAUGUUUAAAGUUGUGAUUGGUUAUGGCUAGUGUUUAGUUGUGCUACAAUCAUGGCUUGAUCCUGAUGAAGAAACUAAGUUUCUGGGCACCACAUGGUAUUGACGUGUCAAAAGCGUUGAAGAAAAUAUUAUCUCCAGAAACUUCAUGGGAGAGCAUUCCAUAUAAAUAUGCCAUUCGAUACACAACUCGAACAGGACAAGUCUUUCAAAUGUUCAAAUAUUUCUGAUACUCGUAAGUUUGACGAUGAUUAUCAUCCGCAAAACAAAGAAAAUUUUAGAGG